GGCUCGCUGUAAGUUUUUGUCAGUUUAGAUGAGGAGUUGCUAGGCCUGCCGCGCGGUUACCAAGGAAAAGCCGGUGUCAUAGUUACCCACCAUUGUCUGCCUUUGAUGACGUUUAAUACCCCGCUGCGCGCCUGCGCUGAGUCGCCGGUGACGUCAACGAAAUGGCCGCUGGUGGUGGGGCAGACGGUGAGAGGUUGUCGCGACCUUCUCAUAGAUUCAUUUCCCAGCCGCUUAAAGCUGUAAUAAACCAUGCUCCGAAUCGAAAACAGAAAUUGUCGGAGAAACUCAGCAAGUCAGGCAGCAUCUGUAGAGAGAGAGAAGAAUCUGAAGAAAGGUUCACUCAGCAAAACAAACCAAAGACCUGCAGAAGCUAAACAUCAGAAACAAAAUAUGAAAUUGCUGGAAAGACUCAGCUUGUCUGCAGCAAUUUUUCAAGGGUCUUUCAAAAGUACCUUUCAGUUACUUAACCUCUACCUAGAAGAAAAAGGGCAGCAGAGAUUGUCUUCACAUGAACAAAGUAGAGGACAAAAUAGAGGAUUUUGCCUUGCAAAUUCAGCUCCUGAUACUACACCACAUCUGUUGGAGAUUGCUGUCUUGUUUCUGAACUCAAAGGAAAUGUCAAGACAGUGAAGAUCUAAACAAAAGUGAAACAAUACAUCUGUGGUUAUUUUCCUUCUCAGUUAUAUACAAAAAUUCCCAAAUUAGAGAAAUACUGAGACCAAGAUGUUCCUGUUCCAGCUCUCAUGCUUUCUCUUUAACAAGAGAUUUAACAAUACGGAAAUUCUGUAGAUCAACACAAUACCAUGAGUAGAUCAGGUUCAGAUCUAAGAGAAGUAGAGUCAAAUAUGAUUUCACUUUUGCCAUCUAUCACAAAAAAGCUUCAGACGGCCUUAGCUCAUGGACACAACAUUGGUGUCGAGAGUGUGGUGCUGGAAAAGCUCAGCAGGUCAGGCAGCAUCCAAGGAACAAGAGAGUCAAUGUUUCGGGCAUAAGCCCUUCAUCAGGAAUGAUGCUUGUGGGCCAGGGGCCUGAGAGAGAAAUGGGAGGAGGUGGAGCUAGGCACCACACACUUGACUCUGAUCUCCAGCACUUUCUCCGAGACGUAACCUUGGUGUCAGUCGACUACACCAAUAUUGGAAGGCCCAACCUCCAACACCCUCCAAGGCCAGAGGCAUAUGGAUCAGUUGACCCUUGGGUGAAACUUUGCUCCAAUCUACCUGGAGAUUUGCUGCAGAUCUUCCUGGACCUCCACCCUUCCCCAGGGUGGAAUCUGUUUGUAAAGGAUCUUCCGUGGCUCAUCAGGUCACAAUAUUCAAUGUUGUCCUGUACAUGGUGUGAGUAGAAACAAGUUUCCUCCUCUGUGUAUGCCAAUAUCCACCUUUUAAAAUAAAGUUAGAGAUGUCUCCUCCAGUUAGUCCACUGACUAUGACAGCAUCAGAUCUAUGGUUAUUCACAAGUGUUUUUUUCCAGGAGUAUCUUGCUUAGGGGUGUGAGCUCAUUGACAUCUGUUCCCCCAUUCAGGUCUCUGCUCUGCAGAGGCUGGAUGUCCCUCAUCACAGCUACGUUAAAGUUUCCCUUUGUGUCCUCAGAAAUAACUCCAGAGUUAUAAGCACAUGGACAUCCUGAAUAUAAUGUAGCAGGGAUACUUUAUUUCACUGGCAUCAAGUCCUAAUAAGUUUCAAGGAAAAUUAAGGUUACUCUAGAAUAGCAGUGCAUUUACAUGGUAUAAAUUAGUAGUUCCCAUUUGAUUGAGGAAAUCCUUCACCUGUCUCUUCCCCUAUUUACGAGGCCUCUUUUCAACACAGACACCCUGUCAACCAGAAAAGGUCUAGAUGAGUUCCCCAGCUCAGUGGCUUCAGUCACCAUCACCACCUGCUGCUGAAGGCCCCAUUAGAUCUCUUUUAUAUAUCUCAACAAAAGUCAACAGAGAAAACUACUGAUGCCUAGUGACAUGGAAGAUUGCUCUGGGAAUUGUGCCAAUUUUCAUGACUUCUCAAUCAAAAAGAGUACUUUAGGCAACAUGAAGAAAACAACUCAAUGAAUUAUUCAGCAAGGUUGGUAGCAUUGGUGGUGAGAGAAACAGAGUUCAGGUCAGUGAAGUGAAUCAGUAACCCGUGACAAGCUGUUUGUGAUUCAGAGGUAAAUAUUAAUUUUGUCGGCGCUUUUAAAAAGGACAGUGUCGAAUAUGAGUUCCCUGAUUAGGACUGUUAAACUGGUCCAAUCAGGGAGCCCUGACAGAUACA